rnacentral:rRNA from 1 species
GACGAACGCUGGCGGCGUGCUUAACACAUGCAAGUCGAACGAUGAUGCCCAGCUUGCUGGGUGGAUUAGUGGCGAACGGGUGAGUAACACGUGAGUAACCUGCCCCUGACUCUGGGAUAAGCGUUGGAAACGACGUCUAAUACUGGAUAUGACUGCCGGCCGCAUGGUCUGGUGGUGGAAAGAUUUUUUGGUUGGGGAUGGACUCGCGGCCUAUCAGCUUGUUGGUGAGGUAAUGGCUCACCAAGGCGACGACGGGUAGCCGGCCUGAGAGGGUGACCGGCCACACUGGGACUGAGACACGGCCCAGACUCCUACGGGAGGCAGCAGUGGGGAAUAUUGCACAAUGGGCGAAAGCCUGAUGCAGCAACGCCGCGUGAGGGAUGACGGCCUUCGGGUUGUGAACCUCUUUUAGUAGGGAAGAAGCGAAAGUGACGGUACCUGCAGAAGAAGCACCGGCUAACUACGUGCCAGCCGCCGCCGUAA